AAAAACUCCGGUGGUAUACGAUGGAUCCGCGUCUGAUUAGCCAGUUGGCGGGGUAACGGCCCACCAAAGCGACGAUCAGUAGCCGGCCUGAGAGGGUGAACGGCCACAUUGGGACCGAGACACGGCCCAAACUCCUACGGGAGGCAGCAGUGGGGAAUAUUGCACAAUGGGGGAAACCCUGAUGCAGCGACGCCGCGUGAGUGAAGAAGUAUUUCGGUACGUAAAGCUCUAUCAGCAGGGAAGAAAAACCGGCCUUAGGGCCGCCAGACGGUACCUGACUAAGAAGCCCCGGCUAACUACGUGCCAGCAGCCGCGGUAAUACGUAGGGGGCAAGCGUUAUCCGGAUUUACUGGGUGUAAAGGGAGCGUAGACGGCAGCGCAAGUCUGGAGUGAAAUGCCGGGGCCCAACCCCGGAACUGCUUUGGAAACUGUGCAGCUCGAGUGCAGGAGAGGUAAGCGGAAUUCCUAGUGUAGCGGUGAAAUGCGUAGAUAUUAGGAGGAACACCAGUGGCGAAGGCGGCUUACUGGACUGUAACUGACGUUGAGGCUCGAAAGCGUGGGGAGCAAACAGGAUUAGAUACCCUGGUAGUCCACGCCGUAAACGAUGAUUACUAGGUGUCGGGGGGCCAAGGCCCUCCG
rnacentral:rRNA from 1 species